GCAGACAUUACUGGAUAGUCGUCUGCUCCACAUGUGAUUUCUUUACAACCUGAUUGUAUGCAAGUAAUGGAUAUUGUGAAAUGGAACCAGAACAUUUUGGAGAUACUCAGUUAAUCGGUCAGUGUCUGUGGAGACACUAAGACCUUCUUCGGAAUUGGGAGAAAUGGAGAGAGGGUGGAGAAAGCAAGGGAAGAAGUAAAACUGAGGUGAUGUCGAGGCCUUCCAUUAGAACUGGCUAAUUCUGACAAAUUGGUAAACUAGUCAUCAGAAUUUGUUCGACGUUGAGUGCCUAAUCGGAAGGUGAGAUGCUGUUUCUUCAGAUUACUUUGAACGCCUUUGAACUGGAUAAGGGAGUUCUAUGCAGACGGUUGAGAACUACGUUGAGGGGCGUUUAAUUGAAGUCAAUGCAACAAGAGAAAUUUGACCAGAGGAAUCUAUAACCAGGGGACAUAUACUCGGCGUGAUCAGUAGAUGAAAGAGAAGUUGAAGAAUCAUUAUUUUCACCUUAACUGAAGAUAUUGAAAAUAUGUAAUUUUGAACAAUGGCACACCAGAACUGUUCAAAUACUGCAUAUGUAAUGCAUACCUGGGGAUACGAAUUGAUAAUAAACUGGACUGGUUUAAGAACACUGAGGCUGUCUGCAAGAAGGGUCAGAGCCGUCUCUAUUUCCUGAGGAGACUGAGGUCCUUUAACAUCUGUCGGACGAUGCUGAGGAUGUUCUACGAGUCUGUGGUGGCCAGUGCGAUCAUGUUUGCUGUUGUGUGCUGGGGCAGCAGGCUGAGGGUAGCAGACACCAACAGAAUCAACAAAAUCAUUCGUAAGGCCAGUGAUGUUGUGAGGAUGGAACUGGACUCUCUGACGGUGGUGUCUGAAGAGAGGAUGGUGUCUAAGUUGCAUGCCAUCUUGGACAAUGUCUCCCAUCCAUUACAUAAUGUACUGGGUGGGCACAGGAGUACAUUCAGCCAGAGACUCAUUCCACCGAGAUGCAACACUGAGCGUCAUAGCAAGUCAUUCCUGCCUGUGGCCAUCAAACUUUACAACUCCUCCCUUGGAGGGUCAGACACCUUGAGCCAAUAGUCUGGUCCUGGACUUAUUUCCUGGCAUAAUUUACAGACUACUAUUUAAUUAUUUCUGGUUUUAUCACUAUUAUUUAAGGUGCAACUGUAACGAAAACCAAUUUCCCUUGGGAUCAAUAAAGUAUGACUAUGACUAUAUGUAAAACAGAACAAUGCCA